AUGCUGGCUGGCGUCAAGUUUGAUCCCAUGGAUCAGGAGCUGAUCGGGCACCUUGAGGCCAAAGUGAGUGCUGACAGCGCGAGAUCUCACCCUCUCAUCGAUUUGUUCAUACCAACCAUCGAUAGUGAGCACGACAUAUGCUACACCCAACCUGAGAAACUUCCAGGUAUCACACAGAGUGGCCUAAGGAAGCAUAUCUUCCAGCGCAAUUCCAGGGCAUUCAAAAGGGGCAUGUGGACGCGUCGCAAGACGGGCAACACAAAGGUUCUGGUGCUGCACACCAACAAGAACUUCGACCAGCAGAGGACCAACUGGGUGAUGCACCAGUACCACCUCGGGGACCUGGAGCAAGAGAAGGAGCGGGAGCUGGUCCUCUGCAAGAUUUUGUACCAGACGAACACUAGGGCCAGGAGUAAAAAGAUUAUAAGUUAG
rnacentral:rRNA from 1 species